rnacentral:lncRNA from 1 species
CCAGCACGUCCUCCUGCCCCACAGGCUGCUUCCUCUGCGGAGCCCCAGCCUGAGCCCCGCGCCAGAGGCCGGCUCCCGCUCAUACCCGCCUUCGGAUUUCACCUGAGCUGCGGCUCCAGCUUGGGCUCCCCCCGCAGCCUCCCGCCCAGCCCCGCUGGGGCCACUUCCUCAAGGUCAGGAACUUUAGGGGCGCUGCUGGCCUGCUGCCUCUGUGGCUGCCCUCACAGGCUGGAGAGGGGGUCAUUUUGCCCUUUUUGAAUGAAUGUCCGUAUGCUCGUUCAAAGAUUCCAAUAACCUGGGAAACAGUGUGCUGAAACUGGAUUUUUGCAGAAGAGACAAGAGGCUACCUAAUAAUGCUACUUCUGCAAAUGGAUGUCCAGAAUUGAAAGGUGUAACUGAAUCACUGACUUCUUAUCUGGUGAAUAGAUGUGAACUACCGUGGAUGUAAGAAUCACAGUCUCUCCUAAAAGAGAAAGAGUAGCAGGACUGCUUGUGAGAAAAGUGUUCCUCUUAAAGAUACAGUCUGACUCAAGAGGAGAUAUUGACUAUUGAUUGCUAUGGAAAAUAUUAAGAAGUGUUUUGGACUACUUCCAAUCAUCCAAUUGAAGGACCAUCCAACACAAAAGAUUAUCAAAGCUUUGUUAAACAUGUAAAGAAUUUUCCUCUUAAAAUAGGCAGUGAAAUUACUGGAUUGCUUGCUCCAGCAAUUCUCAAAUUUUGGAUCAGAGGAAUCUCUUGAAAAUUAUUGUGGACCCCAAAGAGAUUUGGCUAUGUGAGUUAUAUCUAUUGAUAUUCACCAUAUUUAAAAUUAAAAU